AAGAAAAUUGAUUUUAUCACUGCUAGUGGCAGGGUAUGUUAUUUUAAAACAGAGCUUAUCAGAUCAUUGUUGUUGCUCUAUUGAGUAAUUGUCUUCUUUAUCUUUUCAUAUCUCAGUAUGUAUGAGUACUUAGUUGGCAAAGGAAGAAACAUCGUUAGUUGCUUUAUUGGUUUAUAUCUCAGUUUGUUAAAGUACUUAGCUAGCUGGUGAAAAAAAAAAAGAUCCAUAGUUUACUUUAUGGACUUGUAUUUCUGGUUUUAGACAACGGCCUGUGUACCAGAGUUGCAAAAGUUGAGUGGAGGUCAAGCUGUGAAAGCAGCAGGAAAAUCGAAAAGACAAAUGCCAAACAAAAAAAAGGGUGAGAAUGAUGAUGAAGAUGAAGGUGAAGAUGAUGCCAAUGAGGCAGGAAGUGGGGAGGAGGAAGAGGAAGCUACUAGAAAGGCUAAAUCACAAAGAGAAUUGAAGCCUAGAGGUCAUGUCAAGAAGCCUCCAACAAAACAAUCAUCCAAGGCAAGUGAUGACAAUGAUGAUGAAGAAAAUGACAAAGGUGCUGCUGCUGCUGAUGAUGAUGAAAUUGAUAAUGGUGGUGCUGAUGAUGACAAUGACAAUGAUGAUAAAAAAGAUCGAAAGAAGAAACCAAGCAGAGUGACCAAUGAUAAACAAGCUAAGGCAAAAAAGGAAUCCAACAAGAAGGUUACCAAUCAAAACAGUAGAAGGCCAAAGAAGAAAAUGAAGUAGAUUGCUUUUGAAAUGAAAGCGGCAGCUGUGGCAACCGCCAAACAUAGCUCACAUUUUAGAAGCAUAGAAAGGUGGGUGUAUCUAAAUUUUUAUAAGUAUGGUUAGUCGUUAAAGAUAUCGCCUUUUUGCUCUUGCCAACGGCUUCUGCAAAUGUUAUAAUCUAGUCAUGUGAUACUUGGACUAGUAUUUUCCUGAAAGAGAUCUCAGAUGAUGUAAACAAGUAGAUUAGAUCUAAAUAGACUCGUGUGAAAGCAUCACAGUUUUCUACAUUUAUUUUCAUCUGGGUUCAUAGUCAUUGAAUCUUUAAAACGAGACCAGUGAAAUCUGUGAUUCAUAAGUCAUACUUUCAGCAAUUCAUGCCAGCACCAAAAAGAUCUAAUUGGCCUGUUACCAGAGAACACAAAUGCAGGAUCAGCAGCCGCUUCUAGUAACUAGUCUUCUACAUACUUACGAAGGGCUUCAAUUUUUGGCUCUCAUUAGUUGGAUUUUAUGUUAGUAUUAAAUUUUGAGAAACCAGCAAUGGUCAGAUUGCUGUUCAGAAUCUCCGUGUGUAUGCUCUGUGGGACAUUUUUGAAAACCAAGGAUGACAUAUAAGAUAAAAAAUAGCUACUAAUGCAAAAUUUCCCCCAAAAAUAAGCAGAUAUGUCUCUCGUAGUGAUGAGUGGCUGAAUGAAUUUGAUGGAAAAUUAGGAAAGCUAAGAAGCCUUUUUUUUUAAAAGAUAAAUAAUUGGGUUCGAAAUGUAGACAAAAAUAGAUCAAGUAGUUUUACAUAAUGAGCUGCACCUGAAGCUCAGAAGCAGGUUCAGAGUAACCUGAGCUACAGUCCAACCCAAACCCUCCAGGAGAAUUGAGA
rnacentral:misc_RNA from 1 species